rnacentral:rRNA from 1 species
GACGAACGCUGGCGGCGUGCUUAACACAUGCAAGUCGUACGGUAAGGCCCUUUCGGGGGUACACGAGUGGCGGACGGGUGAGUAACACGUGAGUAACCUACCCACAACUUUGGGAGAACGCUAGGAAACUGGUGCUAAUACUGGAUAUGUGCUCCUGCUGCAUGGUGGGGGUUGGAAAGCUCCGGCGGUUGGGGAUGGACUGGCGGCCUAUCAGCUUGUUGGUGGGGUAGUGGCCUACCAAGGAGGCGACGGGUAGCCGGCCUGGGAGGGUGACCGGCCAAAUUGGGACUGAGAUACGGGCCAGACUCCCACGGGAGGCAGCAGUGGGGAAUAUUGCACAAUGGGCGCAAGCCUGAUGCAGCAACGCCGCGUGCGGGAUGACGGCCUUCGGGUUGUAAACCGCUUUCAGCAGGGACGAAGCUUUUUGUGACGGUACCUGCAGAAGAAGCACCGGCUAACUACGUG